rnacentral:misc_RNA from 1 species
GCAGAAAUCGAUAAGAUUCGAUCAGCUGUCUCGCUUUCACGGUCACCAAAUGCUGCGACCGUAGAGCUUAUCAUAUUUAUGUUUCACGCAUAAUUGAAUCUCCCUGAAUGAUGGUGCUAUAUAGUAUUUGAGACAUUCAUUUUUUAUUAUCAUAUUUGUCAUAUAAUAAUUGUAUAGUGCAAUUAGAUAUAUCUAGACCGAACGAGUGUGUUUUGAAUUUUGAUAUGUGCAUUUUCUACAAAAUAUUGGAUGAGGAUAUCUAGUCAUUAUUUGUCCACGUUUGAAAGACCCAUGUGUAUAAUUGUGUAUGUUAGCAAAGGAUCGAUAUAAAUGUGUAUAUCCAUGUUAGACAUGGAACAAGUGUGCGUUCAUGAUCAGUUGCAUGGUGUGUGGGUGUGUGUAUAACUAAGAAUGUAUGUGUAUAAAUGUGUGCAAAUGUGUAAGACUAAGAAUUUGGCUAUUUACUUGUAUAAAUGUAUAUGUCAUAAUGUAAUGAUGAUUUAGCUUUUGUAUAUCAAUGUUAUCGAUUUUGUUUUAUUUUUACGGGUCGUUUGAAAUCCAUUGUGCAUGUGUGAGGAAGUGUGAAUGAAAGAAAUGAGAAAUUUCUUAGGGCCGGGCCCCAGUGCAAUAUUUUCUCUAGAUUGAGUUUGGACAGAAUCAAGUUUUCAGCCUGAUCUCAAUAAAUAGAUCGUGUAGACUUAGAUCCCGUCAAUGUGCGAGUUUUCCCGGAUUAUCCCAAAGGAUAUCCGGUUUCCGGUUUACCUGAACACAUUUCCGCCCGAUGUUUGUUUCAUUUCAUUAGCGAACAAUUUUUAAUAUCGAUAUUGUUGUGAUAGAACUCAAUGUAACUUAUUUAUUUAAUUUAUUGUGUAUGUAAUAAAAACAUGUGAUCAAAUCUCGG